rnacentral:rRNA from 1 species
AAACCAACCGGGAUUGCCUUAGUAACGGCGAGUGAAGCGGCAAAAGCUCAAAUUUGAAAUCUGGUACCUUCGGUGCCCGAGUUGUAAUUUGGAGAGGGCAACUUUGGGGCCGUUCCUUGUCUAUGUUCCUUGGAACAGGACGUCAUAGAGGGUGAGAAUCCCGUGUGGCGAGGAGUGCGGUUCUUUGUAAAGUGCCUUCGAA